UGUGAUGAAAAAAGCAGAGCACUAUAAGGAGUGAGUUUCCUUGAAAGUAAAAUUAUUGGCUAUAUUGCCUUUGUAAAUCAGUAGCUAGUCAAUCUUAAUAUGGGGGGGAUGGCCAGUUUCUUAUAGUAGCAGUCCAAAUCAUGAUAGUCUAAAGAACAGGUGAAAACUAAGUACAUUUCUAUCACUGAUCCUUUAUACAACAGGGCUCCGCCAAAGUGCAAGUCCAUGCUUGAUUUUAUGCUCAAAUAUUUUUUGCUUGAUUGGUGAGUUGGGAAUUGAUCAUUCACAUAUAGGCUAAAAAGGAAAUUUCCUGGAGGACUGUAAUGUGAACUAAGUUCCCCUUACAGCCCUCUUCUCAUGGUACGCAGUUCCAAUGCUUUUCGUUCUCUCAUAAUGGCAACUUUCUCACUUACUCUUGUCAUAUGUGCCCAAGGAAGUUACUUCUGGAAUUCGUAUGCUGUCUUCUAGGAUUAACUGUGAAGCCACCACAAAGGAGUUACUCCUACAGUACCUGCUUAAAGAUUUAGUUUUCAUGAUGCUACAGUGGAGGAGAUGUGUAGGGACACUCUACCAUAACUGUUCAGCUUAGAACAAAUACUUACACACAGGAGAGGAAGGAACUUUACAGCACCCUCAUUUUCUGAACUCUUCUCACUGUAUCAGGUAGAACGACUGUUCCCACCUAGGAGAGCUUGCCUCGAUGUAUGAGGAGACAGCCAAGGUCUAAAUCAGAUGAGCCCUUCUCUGAUCUGCCCCUUCCUUCCUUGUCCUUACUGCAGUAAUAACUAUAAAUAUCAGAGCUGUAGCUACCAAGAAUAGACUCGGUAUCACACACUGAGUAUAUUUGUACAUCUUCAUGUCCUUUAAACUCAAAGAGUUUUAGAGCCAAUGCUGUUGUAUGGGUAACUCUUGCAGAGCUUUUCAUAUAGAAUGGUUCUGCCUAACUCACAUGGAUUUUUUUUUAAAAAAAUGUACUUCCAAGAUUACAUUAUGACUGCAUUAAAGAGGUCAGGGGAGGUGCCUGAAUGCUGCCAGUGCCUCUUCUGGGCUGCCAUCUUGAGAGCAAACUACGAUUGCAAAAAGACCUCGUGGCAAACAGACAUUAACCACUUGGGUGUCCCACAUCUGGCAGGUGAGAAACAAACACCAGGAAAAAAGAAUGAUACCUCUGUCAGAGGAAACAGAAGAAACAAAUACAAAAUGCCUCAAGAUAUAACAGCUCUGUGUCCCAUCUGAGAAGCUAAAAAGUCUCUGCAUCCCAUUUGAGAAGCUAUCAGUCUCCUCAACAGCCUACCUUGGCAUCCAUUCAACUGAAUAUGUAUUUAAUUUUCUCAUAUUCACUGGAGGAAUCUCAGCUGGAAAAAUCAGGCAGACAUCUAUCCCCGGCUUCUGAAUCAUCAGCACAGAGAUUUGUGGAUAUCAAGGAGAACUUGCCCCUGUUUUUUAACAUUUAAGCAUCUGCUGAUUUUGCUGCUUUGUGGUUAGCUGGUUGCUUGCGUUUGCAUGUGGAAAUCUUUGUUCUUGUGCUGUGUUGUUUCUCUGGAAUGCUAUGAGCAGUUGUUUUUGUUUGUUCAUAGUUGGGUGGUGCUAGCUGUCUUAAUUGAGUAAAUAUUUGCAAUGUUAUACUUGCUCGCACAGAAGACAAAGAGGGCUGGAUUCCUGUUGACACAAAUAGCCUUUUACACUGGCUUGGCAAUGUGAAGGCUUAAAUAAAAUUGUUAACUGUAAGACCACUUCUUAUGGUCAGAUGGUAUAAAGUAAAUUUAGUAUGAAUAACUGUCAUGUCCAUAUAUAUUUCUAAUUACAGAUUGGCUAUAUUUUGGGAUGUCUUGUGAUUACAGCCAUAAAAGGGGAAACUGCCUUAUUCACCAGCUUAUUGUUCCAAAGUGCUUGGCUUCCACUGGGACUUAAGCCUCUUGAAAAACACGGCACUUAUUCACCAGACUGUCUUUCGAUAUCGAGGGUGUUUUCUACAGAAGUAGAAGUUUCCUAAGUGAACAUUAAUACUUCCAAAAUGCCUGAAGUUGUUUUAAAAAUUGCAAGCUUGUGGUGCUCAUGGAAGACAUGUUUGUGUAUAUAAUAAAUACAUUGUAUAAAUCUUGCCAGGUGACUAUUGCAUUUGUUAUCAUUGGCUAAGCUACAAAAUACACUAUAGAGACCUAUACACAAGUAAUGAAGACUUAUGACUGAAGAGACUGUUUAACUGAGUCUCUCUUUUUUCAAAGGUUAAUAAAAAAAUCGUUGUGACAUAAGGAAAAGUGAAAUUGAACCCCACAGUUAAGGUAUUGUGUAGGCACAAUCCUAGUGCAGCUUCUGUGUGGCUGUAUCUGUGAAAGCAUGGAGCUUAUCAUGAACUGAUUUAUCCUGCCUAGUCUUGAAAGAAUUGCAUAGCCUCAUAGUCCUUUUGCUUCACACAUGCCUUAAGGGAACUAGUGUCUCUGCAGGUCUAAGAAAAAACUUUAAUAUAUGAGCGGUUUAUUGUAUUAACAGUUAUUUGUCUUGUUUGAAAUUCUCACUGUUUCUUUCAAUAAUUAGCUAUUUAUUCUCAUCUUCAAAAAAUAAAUAGGAAAAAUUUAGAGUUUUGCUUCCACAAGGCCAAAUGUGAGUUGAAGCUCAGGCUGUCUCUGAGCAAGCAUUCAUUGACUGGGUAGUCAGCCCUAUCUCUACUCCUGCAUAGUUAUUCCUUUUGCCAGCCCCUACGCUUGGCUCGCUGAUCUCUCUCUGUGUAUUCAUUCUGUGAAGCAGAAUGGGCACAUGAAGCAGAUAACACAGAUUGCCUGGCUGUUUUCAGUGGUAUCUCUUCUCUGAUCUAAUCCACUUCUCAUCCAUCUCUAUGAAUGUCAUGGUGAGUGGGAAUAAGCGGCACAGACUGAUGGAGCCUGCUGAAAUUUCACAGUACCUGGUGAAAGGGAAACAUGAGCCUGACUCACUCCUUCUUCUGGUGUGGAAGAUACUUCAGACCAAUCUGAGAAUAAAGAUUGAGAAGACACCAAUUCAUUAGAGAAAUUAAAGAGAAGAAUGAUAACAUCACCAGAAGGACUGAACAGGAGGAUGAAACACCUGAUAAGCCCACCAGGAGCACAUUAGACAUGUUGUCCUAACAGCUAGAUAAUUAAAGGGGAAGAUGAGAGCCAUAAAAUCAGCCCGUGUUUGAUCAGAUAGUAGAAUGUUUCCUCUUUGAUCCUGAUAAACUGUAAAGAAAAACAGUUAAGGAAAAGAAUAUCCCCUAUUAA